rnacentral:lncRNA from 1 species
AUUUGUCGUAAUCUUUUACGGUUGCGAAGGAUUAGUGGCCACAAGAAAAACAGUGUUCCGGGAGAUAACUCUUACAACGUAAAGUAUUUUGUUAGGCAGUUGUAAAUUUUUAAAGCGUAUCAACUAUACGAUAUCAUAUUCCAAAUAUCUAAGCGACAUCUUUUGAAACAUCAAUACUACGCAAGAAAAAAAUUAGGUGGAAGAAAAAAAAAAAAGAAUAAUAAUAAUUAAAGACCAAUUGUUCAAAGAACAAUUGAAGGUCUUUCCACAAGUAAAGAUCUAUUUUAUUAUCAAAAUAUUAAAAAUCAAUCUAAAAUGUCAGUUCCUAUGACUUUAUAAUGUAUAAAUAUGAAUUUAAAGCAAAGGUCAAAAUCUAGAACGUCCUAUUAACCUUUGACCUUGACCUCAAUUUCAAGGUGACCAACCAAGGACCUCAAACAAAAAGACCCUAGGUCUGUAAUAUGUAUGAUUAAUGAGUUAUAUCGCUAUAGGUAUGAUUUUAAAUAUAAGAUGGGCGAAAACUCUCAUUUAUUGUUUACGCACCCUUCCAACCAGAAUUCAUAAGUUACAACAUGUCGAAACUCACAAUUUAGUAAAAAGAAUUUGUCAAUAUCUUUCACGGUUGUUGAAAAUAAGAGAAAAUAAGCCAAAUUCAAAAUUUAGAAUAUGACCUUGACCUUAUUUUCAUUUUUUUGGACCAAGGACCUCAAAUCUAAAGACCCUAGGCCUAUAUCACUGAUGGUUUACCAGUAAGAAACGCAUAUCACUUAUAUCAAAUGCAUAAGGGGAAAUAACUCUCAUAUGGAGUCUCCGGAAAACUUCGGUCCAAAUGAAUAUUCUAUUCCUGAAGACGUAACGAGCAAUUUGGUAAAAUAAAUUUGUCGUAAUCUUUUACGGUUGCGAAGGAGUAGUGGCCACAAGAAUAACAGUGUUUGGGGAGAUAACUCUUACAACGUAAAGUAUUUUGUUACACAGUUGUAAAUUUUAAAGCGUAUAAACUAUACGACAUCAUAUUCCAAAUAUCUAAGCGACAUCUUUUGAAACAUCAAUACUACGCAAGAAAAAAAUUUAGGCGGAAGAAAAAAAAAAACAAAAAAUAAUAAUUAAAAACCAAUUGUUCAGAGAAAAAUUGAAGGUCUUUCCAUAAGUUAAGAUCUAUUUUGAUAUUAAAGUAUUAAAAAUCAGUCCAAAAUGUCAGUUCCUUUGGCUUUAUGGUGUUUAAAUAUGAAUUUAAAGCAAAGGUCAAAAUCUAGAACGUCCUAUUAACCUUUGACCUUGACCUCAAUUUCAAGGUCACAAACUAAGGACAUCGAAUCAAAAGACCAUCGGUCUUAAAUAUGUAUGGUUAAUGAGUAAUAUCACUUUACGCAUAAUUCUAAAUAUAAGAGGGGCUAAAACUCCCAUUUAUUGUUUACGCACCCUUUGAACCAAAAUUUAUAAGUUACUACAUGUCCCAAAUAACAAUUUUGUAAAAAUAAUUUGUCGAUAUCUUAUAAGAUUAAUGAAAAUGAGUGAAAAUAAGCCAAAAUCAAAAUUUCGAAUAUGACCUUGACCUUUGACCUUGACCUAAUUUUCAUUUUUUUGGACCAAGGACCUAAAAUCUGAAGACCCUAGGUCUCUAUCACUUAUGGUUUACUAGUUAGAAAUGCAUAUCACUUGAAUCAAAUGAAAAAGGGGGAAUAACUCUCAUAUGGACUCGCCAUAUAGCUUCGGUCCAAAUGAAUAUACUUACUCUUAAGAUGUAAUGAGCAAUUUUGCAAAAUAAAUUUGUCGUAAUCUUUUACGGUUGCGAAGGAUUAGUGGCCACAAGAAAAACAGUGUUCCGGGAGAUAACUCUUACAACGUAAAGUAUUUUGUUAGGCAGUUGUAAAUUUUUAAAAGCGUUCAACUAUACGAUAUCAUAUUCCAAAUAUCUAAGCGACAUCUUUUGAACAUCAAUACUACGCAAGAAAAAAAUUAGGUGGAAGAAAAAAAAAAUUAUUAAAAACCAAUUGUUCAAAGAACAAUUGAAGGUCUUUCCACAAGUAAAGAUCUAUUUUAUUAUCAAAAUAUUAAAAAUCAAUCUAAAAUAUCAGUUCCUAAGACUUUAUAAUGUAUAAAUAUGAAUUUAAAGCAAAGGUCAAUUCUAGAACGUCCUAUAAACCUUUGACCUUGACCUCAAUUUCAAGGUCACCAACCAAGAACCUCAAAUAAAAAGACCCUAGGUCUGUAAUAUGUAUGGUAAAUGAGUUAUAUCACUUUAGGCAUGAUUUGAAAUAUAAAAUGGGCGAAAACUCUCAUUUAUUGUUUACGCACCUUUCCAAGCAAAUUUUAUAAGUUACAACAUGUGGCAACUCACAAUUUAGUAAAAAUAAUUUGUCAAUAUCUUUCACGGUUGUUGAAAAUAAGUGAAAAUAAGCCAAAAUCAAAAUUUAUAAUAUGACCUUGACCUUUGACCUUGGCCUUAUUUUCAUUUUUUUGGACCAAGGAACUUAAAUCCAAAGACCCUAGGCCUAUAUCACUGAUGGUUUACCAGUUAGAAACGCAUAUCACUUAUAUCAAAUGCAUAAGGGGAAAUAACUCUCAUAUGGAGUCUCCAGAUAACUUCAGUCCAAAUGAAUAUCCUAAUCCUGAAGAAGUAACGAGCAAUUUGGUGAAAUAAAUUUGUCGUAAUCUUUUACGGUUGCGAAGGAGUAGUGGCCACAAGAAAAACAGUGUUUGGGGAGAUAACUCUUACAACGUAAAGUAUUUUGUUACGCAGUUGUAAAUUUUAAAGCGUAUAAACUAUAUGACAUCAUUUUCUAAAUAUCUAAGCGACAGAAACAUCAAUACUACGCAAGAAAAAACAUUAGGCGGAAGAAAAAAAAAAAUAAUAAUCAGAACAAAUUCAAUAGGUCUUUCCACGGAAAAGUGGAAAGACCUAAUAAUUAAAAACCAAUUGUUCAAAGAACAAUUGAAGGUCUUUCCACAAGUAAAGAUCUAUUUUAUUAUCAAAAUAUUAAAAAUCAAUCAAAAAUGUGAGUUCCUAUGACUUUAUAAUGUAUAAAUAUGAAUUUAAAGCAAAGGUCAAAAUCUAGAACGUCCUAUUAACCUUUGACCUGACCUCAAUUUCAAGGUCACCAACCAAGGACCUCAAAUAAAAAGACCCUAGGUCUGUAAUAUGUAUGGUUAAUGAGUUAUAUCACUUUAGGCAUGAUUUUAAAUAUAAGAUGGGCGAAAACUCUCAUUUAUUGUUAACGCACCCUUCCAACCAAAAUUUAUAAGUUACAACAUGUCGCAAC